rnacentral:rRNA from 1 species
UACGGGGGGGGGCAAGCGUUGUUCGGAAUUACUGGGCGUAAAGGGCUCGUAGGCGGCCAACUAAGUCAGACGUGAAAUCCCUCGGCUUAACCGGGGAACUGCGUCUGAUACUGGAUGGCUUGAGUUUGGGAGAGGGAUGCGGAAUUCCAGGUGUAGCGGUGAAAUGCGUAGAUAUCUGGAGGAACACCGGUGGCGAAGGCGGCAUCCUGGACCAACACUGACGCUGAGUGAGCGAAAGCCAGGGAGCAAAGCGGG